rnacentral:rRNA from 1 species
GACGAACGCUGGCGGCGUGCUUAACACAUGCAAGUCGAACGGAAAGGCCCUGCUUUUGUGGGGUGCUCGAGUGGCGAACGGGUGAGUAACACGUGAGUAACCUGCCCUUGACUUUGGGAUAACUUCAGGAAACUGGGGCUAAUACCGGAUAGGAGCUCCUGCUGCAUGGUGGGGGUUGGAAAGUUUCGGCGGUUGGGGAUGGACUCGCGGCUUAUCAGCUUGUUGGUGGGGUUGUGGCUUACCAAGGCUUUGACGGGUAGCCGGCCUGAGAGGGUGACCGGCCACAUGGGGACUGAGAUACGGCCCAGACUCCUACGGGAGGCAGCAGUGGGGAAUAUUGCACAAUGGGCGGAAGCCUGAUGCAGCAACGCCGCGUGCGGGAUGACGGCCUUCGGGUUGUAAACCGCUUUCGCCUGUGACGAAGCGUGAGUGACGGUAAUGGGUAAAGAAGCACCGGCUAACUACGUG